rnacentral:rRNA from 1 species
AACGAACGCUGGCGGCAUGCCUAACACAUGCAAGUCGAACGGGACCUUCGGGUCUGGUGGCGCACGGGUGCGUAACGCGUGGGAACCUGCCCGUAGGUUCGGAAUAACUCCCCGAAAGGGGUGCUAAUACCGGAUAAUGUCUUCGGACAAAAGAUUUAUCGCCUUUGGAUGGGCCCGCGUUGGAUUGGCUAGUUGGUAGGGUAAAAGCCUACCAAGGCGGCGAUCCGUAGCUGGUCUGAGAGGAUGAUCAGCCACACUGGGACUGAGACACGGCCCAGACUCCGACGGGAGGCAGCAGUGGGGAAUAUUGGACAAUGGGCGAAAGCCUGAUCCAGCCAUGCCGCGUGGGUGAUGAAGGCCUUCGGGUUGUAAAGUCCUUUUGUUGGGAAAGAAAAGAAGCAGGUUAAUACCCCGCUGUAAUGACGGUACCGAAAGAAUAAGCACCGGCUAACUUCGUG